UACGAGGGGGGCGAGCGUUGUUCGGAAUUAUUGGGCGUAAAGGGUGCGUAGGCGGUUCGGUAAGUUUCGUGUGAAAUCUUCGGGCUCAACUCGAAGUCUGCACGAGAUACUGGCGAGCUUGAGUGCGGGAGAGGGAAGCGGAAUUCCUGGUGUAGAGGUGAAAUUCGUAGAUAUCAGGAGGAACACCGGUGGCGAAAGCGGCUUCCUGGCCCGACACUGACGCUCAUGUACGAAAGCGUGGGGAGCAAACAGG
rnacentral:rRNA from 1 species